CCCUUAGAUGCUCUGGGCCGCACGCGCGCUACACUGGUCGAUGCAACGAGUUUCUUUCCUUGGCCGACAGGCCUGGGCAAUCUUUGAACAUCGAUCGUGAUCGGGAUAGAUUCUUGUAAUUUUUGAUCUUAAACGAGGAAUUCCUAGUAAACGCAAGUCAUCAGCUUGCAUUGAUUACGUCCCUGCCCUUUGUACACACCGCCCGUCGCACCUACCGAUUGAAUGGUCCGGUGAAAUCUCGGGACGGCGGCUCGGUCGCUUGCGUCCGACUGCUGAAACUUGAUUAAACCAUAUCAUUUAGAGGAAGGUGAAGUCGUANCA
rnacentral:rRNA from 1 species